rnacentral:rRNA from 1 species
GGGCCCGCACAAGCGGUGGAGCAUGUGGUUUAAUUCGAUGAUACGCGAGGAACCUUACCAGGGCUUAAAUGUAGUGGGACAGGUCUAGAGAUAGACCCUUCUUCGGACUCAUUACAAGGUGCUGCAUGGUUGUCGUCAGCUCGUGCCGUGAGGUGUCAGGUUAAGUCCUAUAACGAGCGCAACCCCUAUCGUUAGUUGCCAGCGGGUAAUGCCGGGAACUCUAGCGAAACUGCCGGUGCAAACCGAGAGGAAGGUGGGGAUGACGUCAAAUCAUCACGGCCCUUACGUCCUGGCCUACACACGUACUACAAUGCUACGGACAAAGGGCAGCAAGUUCGCGAGGACAAGGCA